GAGUUUGAUCUUGGCUCAGAACGAACGCUGGCGGCAUGCCUAACACAUGCAAGUCGAACGAUCCCUUCGGGGAUAGUGGCGCACGGGUGCGUAACGCGUGGGAACCUGCCCUUAGGUUCGGAAUAACUCAGAGAAAUUUGAGCUAAUACCGGAUAAUGUCUUCGGACCAAAGAUUUAUCGCCUUUGGAUGGGCCCGCGUUGGAUUAGCUAGUUGGUGGGGUAAAGGCCUACCAAGGCGACGAUCCAUAGCUGGUCUUAGAGGAUGAUCAGCCACACUGGGACUGAGACACGGCCCAGACUCCUACGGGAGGCAGCAGUGGGGAAUAUUGGACAAUGGGCGCAGGCCUGAUCCAGCCAUGCCGCGUGGGUGAAGAAGGCCUUC
rnacentral:rRNA from 1 species